CGGAGAGCAGAGAGGGAGCGCGCCUUGGCUCGCUGGCCUUGGCUGCGGCUCCUCGGGAGAGCUGGGGCGCCCACGAGAGGAUCCCUCACCUGGGUCUCUCCUCAGGGAUGACAUCAUCCGUCCACCUCCUUGUCUUCAAGGACCACCUCCUCUCCAUGCUGAGCUGCUGCCAAGGGGCCUGCUGCCCAUCUACACCUCACGAGGGCACUAGGAGCACGGAUUCCUGGAUCCCACCAACAUACAAAGCAGCCACUCACUGACCCCCAGGACCAGGAUGGCAAAGGAUGAAGAGGACCGGAACUGACCAGCCAGCUGUCCCUCUUACCUAAAGACUUAAACCAAUGCCCUAGUGAGGGGGCAUUGGGCAUUAAGCCCUGACCUUUGCUAUGCUCAUACUUUGACUCUAUGAGUACUUUCCUAUAAGUCUUUGCUUGUGUUCACCUGCUAGCAAACUGGAGUGUUUCCCUCCCCAAGGGGGUGUCAGUCUUUGUCGACUGACUCUGUCAUCACCCUUAUGAUGUCCUGAAUGGAAGGAUCCCUUUGGGAAAUUCUCAGGAGGGGGACCUGGGCCAAGGGCUUGGCCAGCAUCCUGCUGGCAACUCCAAGGCCCUGGGUGGGCUUCUGGAAUGAGCAUGCUACUGAAUCACCAAAGGCACGCCCCACCUCUCUGAAGAUCUUCCUAUCCUUUUCUGGGGAAUGGGGUCGAUGAGAGCAACCUCCUAGGGUUGUUGUGAGAAUUAAAUGAGAUAAAAGAGGCCUCAGGCAGGAUCUGGCAUAGAGGAGGUGAUCAGCAAAUGUUUGUUGAAAAGGUUUGACAGGUCAGUCCCUUCCCACCCCUCUUGCUUGUCUUACUUGUCUUAUUUAUUCUCCAACAGCACUCCAGGCAGCCCUUGUCCACGGGCUCUCCUUGCAUCAGCCAAGCUUCUUGAAAGGCCUGUCUACACUUGCUGUCUUCCUUCCUCACCUCCAAUUUCCUCUUCAACCCACUGCUUCCUGACUCGCUCUACUCCGUGGAAGCACGCUCACAAAGGCACGUGGGCCGUGGCCCGGCUGGGUCGGCUGAAGAACUGCGGAUGGAAGCUGCGGAAGAGGCCCUGAUGGGGCCCACCAUCCCGGACCCAAGUCUUCUUCCUGGCGGGCCUCUCGUCUCCUUCCUGGUUUGGGCGGAAGCCAUCACCUGGAUGCCUACGUGGGAAGGGACCUCGAAUGUGGGACCCCAGCCCCUCUCCAGCUCGAAAUCGGCAGACUAGGAUGGAAGUGCCCUGCGAGCUGGGGGGCCCUUCAAAGGGCCAAGGAGAAAACGCAGGCCGAGGGACCAGCCUUCCGAAUGGGCUUCAAGCUCCAGUGACCUCCGCUCGCCCCCUCGAAAUGUCUGGAAAACAUAAUGGGCAGAUUUUCUGUCUUCAAAGUUUCCGGCUAAACCUCUUCAAGUUCUUUAUUGUUUGGGACUGAGACACUCAGCCAUGGUAAUGGGUAGUUUCUUUUGUAUUUGCCUUGAAAGGCCAAAAUAUUUUUAUAUUGCCACAGACAAAGCCACCUAUUUAAAAAUGAACUCCAUGUCCGUCGUUUCCCACCAGGAGACUAUGUACCAUGUGUGUGUCUCUAUGUAUUCUGGGGUCUUGAAACAGGUUUCUCAUGGGGAUGGUCAUUCACCACGGUCCAGAGGGGCAGAACAGGCGGCGCUUGCCUUGCCCAGGGGGCCUGGGGAACGUGGGCCCUCAUCUCAGAUCUGUCCCCAGUAUGUCUAGGACGCGAGCCCCAGAAGGAUCUGGGAGUAAACUUAACAUUCACUGUGUCUCUGCUCUGCAUCCGCCAUUUGUGUGUGUUUCUGGACUGUGGGCUGUGUGUACCUUGGUUGGUGACUCAGUGAGAAGAAGCAGGAAUGCCAAAGAUACUGUGAAUGUUCUGAGUUUUGUUGCUGUUGUUGUUGAGAGGUUGUUUGACUGGUAUCUAUUGCAUUAUAUAAUAAAUGACCAGAUGAAUGAAUGAGUGAAGCAAGAGAGAAUGAAUAAACAAGUAAAUAGGUAAAGAAGUAAGCAAGCCAGGAUGAGAGUGUGUGUACACAAGACCAUGGUUCAUCCGCUUUGAUGCCUAGGCAAUCAAUAUAUAAAUAGAAAAAACCCAGUGAAUCACUAAGUAAUAGGGCAACACACAAAGUGAUAUCAGGUGAUUAUGGACUAAGGGGUAUGUGUAAUUCCAAUAUAUGCCUCUGACAUUUGACAAUGAAAAACAACCUAAAUGAAAGAAAGAAUGGAUGUAUGAGUAGUGAAGUGCAGAAUGAGACAUAGAUUUUGAGGCCCGUCAAAAUGAAAAGAUGCAAGUUAGGGAACAAGUGAUCAAAAGGGAGAAGGGAAAGGUAUUUUUAAAAAACCAAAACAACAAAGAAAGGUUAAAAAAAAACAGACUAGAGGAUGAGUAAUGAGUAACUCUGUAAGGAGGACCAUGUCAGGCUAUUGUAAGCUAAGCAUUAGGACUGAUACAAAUAAUAUAUGCUCCUGGCAUAGAAAAAUAAACCACAGAGAACGAGUUCAAAGAAUAGCAAAGAAAGAAAGAGGACCCAGUGGGCGAAAGAUGAGAGUGUACUUUUACCAAAAGUUAUCUAAGCCUGAGCACUUGAAGUCUGCACAUAAAUAAAUAAAUGACAAAAGAAAGGAAAAAAGGCCAAAAA
rnacentral:lncRNA from 1 species